GUCCACGCUGUAAACGAUGAUCACUCGUUGUUGGCGAUAUACUGUCAGCGACUGAGCGAAAGCAUUAAGUGAUCCACCUGGGGAGUACGGCGGCAACGUUGAAACUCAAAGGAAUUGACGGGGGCCCGCACAAGCGGAGGAGCAUGUGGUUUAAUUCGAUGAUACGCGAGGAACCUUACCUGGGCUUAAAUGCAGGACGACGUUUUCGUGAAAGCGGAAUUUCCUUCGGGACGUCUUGCAAGGUGCUGCAUGGUUGUCGU
rnacentral:rRNA from 1 species